GAUGAACGCUGGCGGCGUGCCUAAUACAUGCAAGUCGAGCGAACGGACGAGAAGCUCGCUUCUCUGAUGUUAGCGGCGGACGGGUGAGUAACACGUGGAUAACCUACCUAUAAGACUGGGAUAACUUCGGGAAACCGGAGCUAAUACCGGAUAAUAUUUUGAACCGCAUGGUUCAAAAGUGAAAGACGGUCUUGCUGUCACUUAUAGAUGGAUCCGCGCUGCAUUAGCUAGUUGGUAAGGUAACGGCUUACCAAGGCAACGAUGCAUAGCCGACCUGAAAGGGUGAUCGGCCACACUGGAACUGAGACACGGUCCAGACUCCUACGGGAGGCAGCAGUAGGGAAUCUUCCGCAAUGGGCGAAAGCCUGACGGAGCAACGCCGCGUGAGUGAUGAAGGUCUUCGGAUCGUAAAACUCUGUUAUUAGGGAAGAACAUAUGUGUAAGUAACUGUGCACAUCUUGACGGUACCUAAUCAGAAAGCCACGGCUAACUACGUG
rnacentral:rRNA from 1 species